GAUGAACGCUGGCGGCGUGCCUAAUACAUGCAAGUCGAGCGAACGGACGAGGAGCUUGCUUCUCUGACGUUAGCGGCGGACGGGUGAGUAACACGUGGAUAACCUACCUAUAAGACUGGGAUAACUUCGGGACACCGGAGCUAAUACCGGAUAAUAUUUUGAACCGCAUGGUUCAAUAGUGAAAGACGGUCUUGCUGUCACUUAUAGAUGGAUCCGCGCUGCAUUAGCUAGUUGGUAAGGUAACGGCUUACCAAGGCAACGAUGCAUAGCCGACCUGAGAGGGUGAUCGGCCACACGGGAACUGAGACACGGACCAGACUCCUACGGGAGGCAGCAGUAGGGAAUCUUACGCAAUGGGCGAAAGCCUGACGGAGCAACGCCGCGUGAGUGAUGAAGGUCUUCGGAUCGUAAAACUCUGUUAUUAGGGAAGAACAUAUGUGUAAGUAACUGUGCACAUCGUGACGGUACCUAAUCAGAAAGCCACGGCUAACUACGUG
rnacentral:rRNA from 1 species